AAUUCUCAACUGCCUUUUAGCAUUUAUGCUAAGGUGAAGUUGGAGUUGGAGGAUAAUUGCUGGCGCAGCUUAGGUUGCUUGUUGGCUCCUCUUGAAUGGAUGAGCUUUUCUGAUAGAUUAUGGCUCAGUAACACUAAUGUGAUAAUUAUCUACGUUAGAUGUGAAAGCUGUGAGUAGAGUGACUUCAAUUAUGGAGAAGCUCCUACAGAAAAGGUAUGUCUUGGGGAACAAGACUUGAAAUAUAAUGACAA
rnacentral:misc_RNA from 1 species